AGAUCUUGUUGAGUGGAGUUUGUCCCUUAUAUGUUCUGCUCUUAGAGUUAGUCUUCCAACCAGGAUAAGACUCUUCCUUAAACUUUGAAGUUUCACAGUUAUCUUCCCUCAAUUGUUUUCGAUAUUGUUGGUAACAGACUGUUACACAAUGCACUGAUACCAACAGUUGAAACUAUAUAAAUAACAUUCCUUCAAUUUGUAACUUUGUUAGUUCAUUUCACUGCGAACCUGCAUAUAUCAUUCUUGUCUGCCAUAGAUUCUCUCUCUAAAUUCUAAACCGAUUUCCAGGUUGUUCGCACAAAGUUUUUUGACAUGCCACCUUUGACUGUCUCGGAAGCUAUUGAGCAGCUGGAAAAUGUCGAUCAUGAUUUCUAUGGUUUCAGGAAUGAAGAAACUGGUGAGAUAAAUAUUGUUUACAAAAGAAAAGCUGGUGGAUAUGGUCUCAUCAUACCUAAAGGAAAUGACGAAGCUGAGAGAUUAGAGCCUUUGGUGGUAGAACCAGCUAGAGAAUCAUCAUUGGCAGAGUAACCAGGCCUAGAAAAUAAGAUCUUCCUAAAAAAUAGAUUACAAAACCCACGUUUUUGGUAAUGCUGUAUAUACAAUGCUAAGGCAUCUAAGAGAGCAUGAUAUAGGGUUCGAGACCUGGUGAACGCACACUAACAAGAUGUCAUGACAUGAUUGUACUGGUUAUUAGAUUUUGGAAGAUUAGGUUCAGUGUGCUAUGUCCCAACUUUUACUGGAAUGAGAAGACAAAUCUUGCAAUUUAUAAGAUGGAAAUCAAUUCGAUAAA